GACUUAGUGGUCCAGUAGUAAAGCGUUUGCCAGGGAGCCAAAUGGUCCUGGGUUCGAUCCCCGAUGGAGUCG
rnacentral:tRNA from 1 species